AUGGAGGAGGGUGAUCCCAUUGAAGCUUCAGACUCAGAUAAUGAGGAUGGAGGAGGUUCAAGUGAUGAUGGUGAAGGCAUUGUUCGCACUAGGGGGCUUCUGCUUAAUGAGAGAGAGGAUUUUCAGCUACAAGUGCUGCUACCUUUCAGUGAUGAUUUCAUCGGGUUUGCUUUUGUUCACCGCCUCACAAGGACAAACAUUUGCUUGGGCAUGAUGAAAAUACCCAAGAAAGUUGCUGCUGCCACGCUGUUUGAAGAACAGGGGGUUGUUGGUAUUUCUGUGGAUGGUGGGAGAUUCAAAAAAGUCUCAUACAAAACUGCUGAUGAUGGCCGCAUUGUGUUUGACAGCAAGAAGUGGAAAGACUUCGCAGCUAGCAGAGGACUCAAAGUCAACACAACUGUUCUUAUUGGCUUCAAGAGCAGCGAGAGGGAUGAUGUCCAUGUCCUGGUUAUCUUGAAGAAGCUUGGCUAG
rnacentral:rRNA from 1 species